GUGGGGAAUCUUGCGCAAUGGGCGAAAGCCUGACGCAGCCAUGCCGCGUGAAUGAUGAAGGUCUUAGGAUUGUAAAAUUCUUUCACCGGGGACGAUAAUGACGGUACCCGGAGAAGAAGCUCCGGCUAACUUCGUGCCAGCAGCCGCGGUAAUACGAAGGGGGCUAGCGUUGCUCGGAAUUACUGGGCGUAAAGGGCGCGUAGGCGGACAGCUUAGUCAGAGGUGAAAGCCCAGGGCUCAACCUUGGAAUUGCCUUUGAUACUGACUGUCUUGAGUACGGGAGAGGUGAGUGGAACUCCGAGUGUAGAGGUGAAAUUCGUAGAUAUUCGGAAGAACACCAGUGGCGAAGGCGACUCACUGGCCCGUUACUGACGCUGAGGCGCGAAAGCGUGGGGAGCAAACAGGAUUAGAAACCCUAGUAGUCC
rnacentral:rRNA from 1 species